rnacentral:rRNA from 1 species
UGCCAAAGCCAUAUCUCCCUGUUGUUCUCGCCUGGUUUCCCACUGAAGGCAAGCAAGGUGGAACCUGGCCAGUACCUGGAUGGGAGACCUCCUGGGGAAAUCUAAGGUUGCUGCUGGAA